CUCUUUCUGAUUGAGUGUAAGCUGCUAUAUGAAGGGAUCCACAAGACGAAUAAUUAAGGGGGACCUCUGAUCAACAGCCAGCAAGGAACUGAAUCCCUCAGACCCACAACUCACAAGAAACUGAAGCUGAAGCAGAUUCUUCCUCAGUCAAGCUUCAGCCACAUCAGGAAGCAGUAAGUGGCAGGGCCAUCUCAAGGAAGAGCCACCAGUCUCCAGGGAGUUUAGGUCUUAGAUGUGAAGCCUCAAGUAAUUUGCAGAGAUUGUCUUGCCUGUAUAACACACCCUGUUGUUGCUUUUAUACAGCCAAACUGACAGGGGUUUGUGAAUCAGAAUGAUGGCUUUGCAUUUUAGCUUAGGGAAGGACCUGCUUUGCAGAAAGGAUCUCAUUGAGAAUAGCAAAAGGAAGUUGGGAACCAUUACAGUGCCCAGCUGUAUUGGUAGAGGAGACCAACCACACCCUCCACAGCACAGCACCUGGAGAGGAACUGCUGCCAUGACCAUAGAGGACACCCUCUGGAUACAAUGCCAGACUUGAUGUGGGACUGACCAACCUAUGGACCCCAGGCACCACCACCCAGACCUGCUCAGCACCUGAAACAUUCACAGCCGUGGAGAGAGAACUGUUCACUGCUACCAUCCACACUUCUGGGCCCCUUCAGCAGCAGGGUGACAAGGAAGAGGGAAAUCGACUUGGAAAAGAGGGGACCUCUGACCCAAGAGUUCGGUCAAUGCAUAUGUUGGCAGCCAGCUGCACAUCGCACCAAAUAUGAACUUCAAAUAGAAGAAAGCCUCAUUUGGAAGAAAGCUCAUGCACAGACUGUAAAUAUUUCAGAGCAGAUUGUGUCUCUGUAGAUUAAGUAAGUUGUGAAAGUCUGAACCUCUGCCAAAAUUUUAAGACCUUGACCUUUACAUCUCUGAGUUUCUAUCUGUCAUUUUUCCUUUCUAUCUGUCAUUUUACCUUUCAUACUUAUAAAAUGGAAUUCAUAAUC
ensembl:lncRNA MIR3976HG MIR3976 host gene